UACGGGGGGGCAAGCGGUUGUUCGGAAUUACUGGGCGUAAAGGGCUCGUAGGUGGCCAACUAAGUCAGACGUGAAAUCCCUCGGCUUAACCGGGGAACUGCGUCUGAUACUGGAUGGCUUGAGUUCGGGAGAGGGAUGGCGGAAUUCCAGGUGUAGCGGUGAAAUGCGUAGAUAUCUGGAGGAACACCGGUGGCGAAGGCGGCAUCCUGGACCGACACUGGACGCUGAGGAGCGAAAGCCAGGGGAGCAAACGGG
rnacentral:rRNA from 1 species